rnacentral:rRNA from 1 species
UGAGGAAUAUUGGACAAUGGGCUGCAAGCCUGAUCCAGCCAUGCCUGCUGUGCAGUGAUGACUGGUCCUAUGUGAUUGUAAACUGCUUUUGUACAGUGAAGAAACCCUUUCACGUGUGGAAGAUUGACGGUACUGUAAGAAUAAGGAUCGGCUAACUCCGUGCCAUGCAGCCGCGGUAAUA